rnacentral:rRNA from 1 species
CACGUAGGCGGAUAUUUAAGUCAGGGGUGAAAUCCCAGAGCUCAACUCUGGAACUGCCUUUGAUACUGGGUAUCUUGAGUAUGGAAGAGGUGUGUGGAACUCCGAGUGUAGAGGUGAAAUUCGUAGAUAUUCGGAAGAACACCAGUGGCGAAGGCGACACACUGGCUCAUUACUGACGCUGAGGCUCGAAAGCGUGGGGAGCAAACA